CCCUUAGAUGUUCGGGGCCGCACGCGCGCUACACUGAAGGAAUCAGCACGUCUUUCUCCUUGUCCGAAAGGACUGGGUAACCCGCUGAACCUCCUUCGUGCUAGGGAUUGGGGCUUGUAAUUCUUCCCCAUGAACGAGGAAUUCCCAGUAAGCGCGAGUCAUAAGCUCGCGUUGAUUACGUCCUUGCCCUUUGUACACACCGCCCGUCGCUACUACCGAUUGGAUGGUUUAGUGAGAUCCUCGGAUUGGUCCCGGAGCGGCCUCUGGUCGUGCCGGAGUGCCGAAAAGAAUGUCGAACUUGAUCAUCUAGAGGAAGUAAAAGUCGUAACA
rnacentral:rRNA from 1 species